AUUGAACGCUGGCGGAAUGGUUUACACAUGCAAGUCGAACGGCAGCACGGGGGCAGCCCUGGUGGCGAGUGGCGAACGGGUGAGUAAUACAUCGGAACGUGCCCGGUCGUGGGGGAUAACGUAGCGAAAGUUACGCUAAUACCGCAUACGAUCUGAGGAUGAAAGCGGGGGACCUUCGGGCCUCGCGCGAUCGGAGCGGCCGAUGUCAGAUUAGGUAGUUGGUGGGGUAAAGGCCUACCAAGCCGACGAUCUGUAGCUGGUCUGAGAGGACGACCAGCCACACUGGGACUGAGACACGGCCCAGACUCCUACGGGAGGCAGCAGUGGGGAAUUUUGGACAAUGGGCGCAAGCCUGAUCCAGCCAUUCCGCGUGCAGGACGAAGGCCUUCGGGUCGUAAACUGCUUUUGUACGGAACGAAAAGGCUCUGGCUAAUACCUGGGGCUCAUGACGGUACCGUAAGAAUAAGCACCGGCUAACUACGUG
rnacentral:rRNA from 1 species